rnacentral:lncRNA from 1 species
UACACGUGGGCCCACGAAUGACUAAAAGUAUCAAAAGAAACGAACCUACAGUUUUUAGAUGUGGCAAGUCCAACUGUAGUCCUCGACGAUAUCAGUUAUCUACAAUCUAUUCUAAGCUUGAAAUGGGUGGAAAGGAAAGUGGUGAGAUUAUAUAAUCCCAGUGAGUAAACAAAUACCAUCUAAAAUAUCUAAAGCCGAGUAAAUGGAGAUAGAUAAAAUAGUUUAACAUACUGUAAUUCAUCACCUUUCAACAAAUCAAUUCAUAUUAAUCGAGUAAUUAACAUGGCUUAUGAAUUUCUUAAAAGAUUUGGCUCAUGCCAAAAUCAUUCUCAUACUCAGUUAUCAGGGAUACCUUGGCCGCGGGCUAUCCCAAACCGAGUCCGCCAAGGCUAUUAAAAAGUUAUGUACUCAUAAAUCAUGUUUUUAUUUUGAAAUAUAGCCAUUCCUUGGCGUUGGCUGAGUUCGCCCUCACAUGGUGGUUUGGCAUGAAGUGAACUCUAAAAGUUAUAGCUCGGGAGUUACCCUACUCGCCUUUCCAACAGAGGUAAAAUAUAUCAGGAUUUCGUGCCCCUCUAAUAGGCUAGUCCACAGAACCCUGCCCACUGCAGCAAGCUUAACCCACCAAACAAUAAAAUUUGAUAUAGCAUGCCAUGGCAAUUAUUUUAUUUUACAGCCUCUCAAGGCAAAUCAACAGUUCAUACAUUUUCAGCACAUUUAUCAAGUCAACCAUUCAUGCCAAUAUUGCCAUAAGCCAAUCAAUUAAAACCAUAAAUUUACAACACAUCAAGUGGUCUCCAAUUACUCUAUUUUCAAAGCCAUCAUUUAAUUUCAAGAUAAUUUAUAAAAUCAUUUCAUUUAAACACAUUUUAUAUAUAAAACAUAAAGAUUUACCAUUUAAACUCAUUUUCCAAAAAUCAAAAAAUCGGAUAAAAACUACUUUAGAUAAUUAAGACGAUAAUAAGGUUACUCACUAUUUCGAGAGUUGAAUUUCGAGUACUCCGAUUCUUGAUCCUCGGGUAAUAUCUUUUUACUUUUGCCAGAAUGCUCACCACCUAAACUUAAUGCACAAUAAGCCAUUUACUACAUUUGUGCUAAAUUGUUAUAAAACCAAUUCAGGCUAUAUACUAAUGUAUGAAAUGGGAUGUGAAAUACUCGGGUAACUAUCUAAAUACGGUGUUCAAUAUAAAUUCACUUGUUUACCUAAAUAAAUUGGUACUGGCCUAAUUCGAUCUAUCACCCGAUUAAUUGGCCAAUACAUCCAAUUAAACUCUAAUUAACUCCAUUUUUCUUCCAAUUCUUAAUUCACCAAACACAAGUCAAAUAACCUAAAAUUUGGCAAAUCCAUCUUCACUUUUCUUCUUAGAAUUUUCGGUCAAUAAUGGUGCAUUAACACCAUCAUUUUUCCUACUACUUUUCCACACCAUAAUUCAUCAUUUUCUAACCAAUUCUCUUAAAAUAAAAAUCAAAUUCAUCCUCACUCAAUACAAGGUAGGUUCGACCAUUGAUGGGUGAUGGGGAAAACAAAUUCUUUUCUUGUUGUUUUGCUUCUAGACAUGGUAAACUAACUAAAAACACUAACAUAACUAGAAAUCAAAUCAAUCCAACAUCAUUCUCUUUCCAUACCCAUUCGGCUAGCCAUAAAUUCACCAUGAAAACAUGUAAUUUAACCAUGGAAAAUGCAAAAUAAUGCAUGGGAAAGGUAGAUCACAAGUCAAAAUGAAGAAAUUUUACCUUUGAUUACUUGAUUACCUAAAAUCCACCAAUUUUCUCUUGAAUUUUCACCCUAGGGUUCAUAUUCUUUCUUUUCUUCCUUUGUUCUUCCUUUGGCAGGCCAUAUGAAGAGAAAUGGGCUGAUUUUGUGCUAAUUUAUAAGGAAAAUAAUAAAUGGAUGAGAUUUUGACACAUGUCACCAUUCCAUUGGUCCAUGUGUCAUACUUAGCCA